rnacentral:SRP_RNA from 1 species
GCCAUGCGAGGUGGCGCGUGCCUGUAGUCCCAUCUACUUAGGAGGCUGAGGUGGGAGGAUCGCUUGAGCCCAUGAGUUGUGGGCUGUAGUGCGCUAUGCCGAUCGGGUGUCCGCACUAAGUUCGGCAUCGAUAUGGUGACCUCCAGGAGCAGGGGACCACCAGGUUGCCUGAGGAGGGGUGAACCGCCCCAGGUCAGAAACGGAGCAGGUCAAAACUCCCGUGCUGAUCAGUAGUGGGAUUUGUGCCUGUGAAUAGCCACUGCACUCAGCCUGGGCAACAUAGCGAGACCCCGUCUCA